rnacentral:rRNA from 1 species
GACGAACCGUGCGAACGUUAUUCGGAAUCACUGGGCUUAAAGGGCGCGUAGGCGGGCUCGCCAGUCAGGGGUGAAAGCCCACGGCUCAACCGUGGAAGUACCUUUGAUACUGCGAGUCUCGAGGGAGGUAGGGGCGUGCGGAACUUCCGGUGGAGCGGUGAAAUGCGUAGAUAUCGGAAGGAACAUCGGUGGCGAAAGCGGCGCGCUGGACCUCUUCUGACGCUGAGGCGCGAAAGCCAGGGGAGCAAACGGG